rnacentral:lncRNA from 1 species
GGGGGAAAAGAUGCUGGGCUGAUGAUCCUUUAGCCUGAUCCAUCUUCAGGACCCUUCUCCUGUUCCUCCUUCACCUCCUCUUCAGCCCAGGUGUCCCUGGUCUGGAACUCUGUGGAGCCCUGAAGUUGGCCGUUCGCUGCGAGGGGAACCCACGGCUCCAGCCAGCAUCUGUCGGAAGCCACAUGCUGGAUGAGGUGCAGUUUAGGUCCGAUCCAGUGGAGCGCUGGUGCUUCUCUGUUCCCUCAGCCGGCGGUAUUGCAUCUUUUCCUGCCCUCGUCAAGACGGUCACUCUCGACCGUUCAAGAGCUGCCCUCUGGCACUUUUUAGAUGCCUGCCCUAAGGAUGCCCUCGCUCACCCCUGGCGUGGCCAAGCAGGCCGCCUUCUCUUGCUUAAAGGCGAGGUUCUGAACCGGCCCUUCUCCGUGGGACCCCGGCACGUCGUAAGAGGCCACAGAGGCUUCUGUUUGUGUUGGGUCCUUAUUUUGCACACCACCAAAGGUUUCCCUGAUCAGGCCCGGAAGCCCUGGAACCUCAAAGGGCCAAGGGGGCCAAAACAGUUUGAAAACAGCUGAUCAAAACACAUGGGUUUUGCUUUGAAGGCUGGGAAUGAUCCAGACUUUUGCCGGCCUUGGGCCAUUUAAUUGUCCAUGGGUUGGCCCUUAGCCCCUCCCGAGGCUCUAAAUGGAUUGCCGGUCGGGGUGUGUUUUCCAUUGCAAACUCUACAAUCCUGGACUCAGCCUGUGCCGUUUCCUUUUCUGUGUUUUGCUGGAUUCAGAGCUGACNNNNNNNNNNNNNNNNNNNNNNNNNNUGCUGAGGCCAGCAUCUAUACCAGUGGGCAGAAAAUGCACCCAGCGGUUACCCCCAGGCCCUCCCCCACACCCUCUUCAACUUCAGAGCGGUGGUAUGCCCUAAAAAGUAUUUUGCAGCAAACAGAAGAGAUGGGCCCCAACUAUGUUUCAAGGCCAGGUCAUGCCUCUGAGGACUUUUGCAGGAAGCAUGGUCUGCAGGAUUUUUUUAAGGGGUUGGGGGGGGAUAGCCCUCCAAGCUUUGGGGAAAGAAAAAUGUCCCUCGGGCCCAUGGACUCCCCACCUCGGCCCUACAUAAACCCUGCCUUCCUUCCGUCAGCGAUGGCACCCUUUUCCCGUCCUACCAGACAAGGGCUGUGUUCUCCAUGAUGUGGCAUCACGCCAUUUACAUGGUGAAGAUGCCCACGUGGGUGGAUGUUUCCUUUCCCUUUCCAAGACAUGGGGGAGAGUGUGGAGCCUCCCUC